rnacentral:rRNA from 1 species
CCUACGGGCGGCAGCAGUGAGGAAUAUUGGUCACUGGGCGCGAGCCUGAACCUGCCAAGUAGCGUGAAGGAUGACUGCCCUACGGGUUGUAAACUUCUUUUAUAAAGGAAUAAAGUGAGGCACGGGUGCCUUUUUGUAUGUACUUUAUUAAUAAGGAUCGGCUAACUCCGGGCCAGCAGCAGCGGUAAUAAGGAGGAUCCGAGCGUUAUCCGGCUUUAUUGGGUUUAAAGGGAGCGUAGAUGGGUUGUUAAGUCAGUUGUGAAAGUUUGCGGCUCAACCGUAAAAUUGCAAUUGAUACUGGCAGCCUUGAGUACAGUUGAGGUAGGCGGAAUUCGUGGUGUAGCGGUGAAAUGCUUAGAUAUCACGAAGAACUCCGAUUGCGAAGGCAGCCUACUAAACUGCCACUGACAUUGAUGCUCGAAAGUGUGGGUAGCAAACAGGAUUAGAUACCCCUGUAGUC